UACGUAGGGUCCGAGCGUUGUCCGGAAUUACUGGGCGUAAAGCGCGCGCAGGCGGCUUCCCAAGCGCCACGUGAAAGCCCCGGGCUCAACCCGGGAGGGUCGCGGCGAACUGGGAGGCUUGAGGCCGGUAGAGGUGGGUGGAACUCCUGGUGGAGUGGUGGAAUGCGUAGAGAUCAGGAAGAACACCCGUGGCGAAGGCGGCCCACUGGGCCGGUGCUGACGCUGAGGCGCGAAGGCGUGGGGAGCGAACGGG
rnacentral:rRNA from 1 species